GUGGAGAUGGCCCAGCGGUCUAAGGCGCUAAGUUAGGGUGUUCCUUAGUAACAUCAUCAUCUCUCGAGAUCUUGAUCCCGAAGUCCGAAAGGGCGUGGGUUCGAAUCCCACUCUCGUCA